AGAGUUUGAUCCUGGCUCAGAACGAACGCUGGCGGCAGGCCUCAAACAUGCAAGUCUAGGGGGUGUAGCAAUACAUCACCGGCGGACGGGUGCGUAACGCGUGGGAAUGUACCUAUUGGUUCGGAACAACACAGGGAAACUUGUGCUAAUACCGAAUGUGCCCGUAAGGGGAAAGAUUUAUCGCCAAUGGAUCAGCCCGCGUUCGAUUAGCUAGUUGGUGAGGUAAUAGCUCACCAAGGCGACGAUCGAUAGCUGUUCUGAGAGGAAGAUCAGCCACACUGGGACUGAGACACGGCCCAGACUCCUACGGGAGGCAGCAGUUGGGAAUCUUGGACAAUGGGGGAAACCCUGAUCCAGCCAUGCCGCGUGAGUGAUGAAGGCCUUCGGGUUGUAAAACUCUUCGCGCAC
rnacentral:rRNA from 1 species